rnacentral:rRNA from 1 species
CGCCUUGCCACGCCGCUCAGAACUUAAAGGAAUUGACGGGGCCCGCACAAGCGGUGGAGUAUGUGGUUUAAUUCGAUGCAACGCGAAGAACCUUACCUGGUCUUGACAUCCCGGAGACCCUUAGGAAACUAGGGGGUGCCUUUCCAUCUGGAAGAAUCUGGAGACAGGUGCUGCAUGGCUGUCGUCAGCUCGUGUCGUGAGAUGUUGGGUUAAGUCCCGCAACGAGCGCAACCCUUGCCUUUAGUUGCCAGCAGUUCGGCUGGGCACUCUAAAGGGACUGCCGGUGUUAAACCGGAGGAAGGUGGGGAUGACGUCAAGUCCUCAUGGCCUUUAUGACCAGGGCUACACACGUACUACAAUGGCCGAUACAAAGGGCAGCGACACUGCGAGGUGAAGCCAAUCCCGUAAAAUCGGUCUCAGUCCGGAUUGGAGUCUGCAACUCGACUCCAUGAAGUUGGAAUCGCUAGUAAUCGUGGAUCAGCAUGCCACGGUGAAUACGUUCCCGGGCCUU